rnacentral:rRNA from 1 species
ACGGGAGGCAGCAGUGGGGAAUAUUGGACAAUGGGCGCAAGCCUGAUCCAGCCAUGCCGCGUGAGUGAUGAAGGCCUUAGGGUUUAAAGCUCUUUGUCCGGGAAGAUAAUGA